AUUGAACGCUGGCGGCAGGCCUAACACAUGCAAGUCGAGCGGCUGCACGGUAAUUGCUUCUGGUUUCGGCGGCCGACGGGCGGGUGAUUCAUAGGUAUCUCCCUGUCUGCUGUUUCUAACGUGAGAACGCGGGGGAUCAUACCCUAUAACUGCUUAGGGAGUACGUGGGAGAUCUUCGGACCUCCCGCUCUCACAUGAUCCUAGGUCGGAUUAGCUAGUUGGUGGGGUAAAGGCCUACAAAGGCGACGAUCCGUCACUGGUCUGAGAGGAUGAUCAGCCACACUGGAACUGAGACACGGUCCAGACUCCUACGGGAGGCAGCAGUGGGGAAUAUUGGACAAUGGGCGAAAGCCUGAUCCAGCCAUGCCGCGUGGGUGAAGAAGGUCUUCGGAUUGUAAAGCACUUUAGGUUGGGAGGAAGGGCAGUAAGUUAAUACCUUGCUGUUUUGACGGUACCAACAGAAUAAGCACCGGCUAACUUCGUG
rnacentral:rRNA from 1 species